rnacentral:rRNA from 1 species
UACGUAGGGACCAAGCGUUGUUCGGAUUUACUGGGCGUAAAGGGCGCGUAGGCGGCGAAUCAAGUCAGCUGUGAAAUCUCCGAGCUUAACUCGGAACGGUCAGCUGAUACUGUUUUGCUAGAGUGCAGAAAGGGCAACCGGAAUUCUUGGUGUAGCGGUGAAAUGCGUAGAUAUCGAGAGGAACACCGGUGGCGAAGGCGGCCUUCUGGACAGUGACUGACGCUGAGACGCGAAAGCGUGGGGAGCAAACAGG